rnacentral:rRNA from 1 species
UACGGAAGGUCCGGGCGUUAUCCGGAUUUAUUGGGUUUAAAGGGAGCGUAGGCCGGAGAUUAAGCGUGUUGUGAAAUGUAGAUGCUCAACAUCUGCACUGCAGCGCGAACUGGUUUCCUUGAGUACGCACAAAGUGGGCGGAAUUCGUGGUGUAGCGGUGAAAUGCUUAGAUAUCACGAAGAACUCCGAUUGCGAAGGCAGCUCACUGGAGCGCAACUGACGCUGAAGCUCGAAAGUGCGGGUAUCGAACAGGAUUAGAUACCCCAGUGACUGACU